rnacentral:lncRNA from 1 species
AUGCGGUCCCAUUCCGGGAGGCGUAACAAGCCUGGGGCGCUUCCACUCCGGCACCCUCAAUCCCUCGCUUCUGCCACCUGUGAUCCGGUCCCCCGGGCAGGCGCGAGGCGCCCCACGCCGCCCGGCCCCUGCCAACGCCCUGCUCGUCCGGGAGCCGCCGUCCCUCCCCCCCGCUCACCUCCAGCCCGGCUCGAAGCCCAGGCGGGAGAGGAGGCGUCGGCGCACCCCCUCCUGCUAAGCAAGCUGCCUUUUCCAGCAACAGGCGGGCGCAAGAUUCGGGGUUUGGGGAUGCGCUCGAGCUGCGCCUCCGGCCGCCGCUCCAACCGCGGGCCCCCCGAGUGGGCACCUGAGGCAAAGGUCUCCCCAGCGACCCCAGCGGCUCGGCCCCACCCCCUCCCGCUCCGGCAGCAGCCUCCUGCCCGCCCCCCGCGUCCUCCUCCCGGGAUACUCCGGAUCCCGGCGGCAAACUGGCUGCAAACAGGAGUCGCACGCGCGCGAGGCGAGGCUCCGGGGCGCCGGGCAGGAGGAGCGCGCGCCGCAGCGCCCACCCCGGGCCGCCCGCGCCGCCGGCCCCGCUCCCGGGCGCGCCGCACCGAGGACCUGCCCCGCCACCCCGUUCGGGGCCCGGGCCGCUCGGGGCGCGGGUCCCCCGCGAGGCCACUCACCCGCGGCGCGGCGGCAGCAGCAGCAGCAGGCGGCGAGCAGCAGGGCGCACGCGAGCCCGGGCCGCCCCAUGCUUCCCGGCCGGAGGGCGAGCGCCUAGUGAGCGGCCGCGCGCGGCCGGGGGCUGACGUCAGGGGGGCGGGGGAGGGGCCCGGCCGCCCCGCCCCGCCCGCCCGCCCCGCCCGCCCCGCGCAGCCCCCCGCCCCGCCCCGCCCCGCGCCGCCCCAGCGCGGCCCCGCCGCGGCCCCAGCCCCGCGCGCGCCCGGUCGGCCGAGGGGGCUUGACAGGUGUCUCGAGGCGGGCAGGCGGCCGCGGCGGCGGGGAGAGGCCGGCCCGGACGCCCAGAGUCACGCCGGGUCCGAGGCGGCCGCGCUCGCCCCGCUCGCCCCGCUCGGCCCCCACCAGCCGCCGGGCCCGGCCGGCCCGCGGGGCGAGGGAGCCGCAGCCCAGGCCUCCCGGCCCCCGGGGGCCUCCGCUGCCGCCUCCUCUUCCGCCGCCCGGAGACCUGGCCGCGCGGCCGCUUCCCAGAACCAGAACCAUUGCACCACUGCGGCCGCCGGCCUGGCACUGCCCCCAGCCUCGCGCACCCCAGCCUCGCUGCGCCCGCAGCUCUGCGGGAAGAACCCUGCGCCGGGCCCACAGACCCAGAGGUGCCCGGACUGGGGACUGGAGAUGGCCCCUAUGCGCUGCCCCCUCAAAGCCAAGCUCCCGCUAGUCCCCACCGGCGAAAGGGAAGGGGCUGAAUUCACGGGCCCAAGGUUUUCACACUCGUCCACGUCCAGACCUUGA